rnacentral:rRNA from 1 species
GAUGAACGCUGGCGGCGUGCCUAAUACAUGCAAGUCGAGCGAACGGACGAGAAGCUUGCUUCUCUGAUGUUAGCGGCGGACGGGUGAGUAACACGUGGAUAACCUACCUAUAAGACUGGGAUAACUUCGGGAAACCGGAGCUAAUACCGGAUAAUAUUUUGAACCGCAUGGUUCAAAAGUGAAAGACGGUCUUGCUGUCACUUAUAGAUGGAUCCGCGCUGCAUUAGCUAGUUGGUAAGGUAACGGCUUACCAAGGCAACGAUGCAUAGCCGACCUGAGAGGGUGAUCGGCCACACUGGAACUGAGACACGGUCCAGACUCCUACGGGAGGCAGCAGUAGGGAAUCUUCCGCAAUGGGCGAAAGCCUGACGGUGCAACGCCGCGUGAGUGAUGAAGGCCUUCGGAUCGUAAAACUCUGUUAUUAGGGAAGAACAUAUGUGUAAGUAACUGUGCACAUCUUGACGGUACCUAAUCAGAAAGCCACGGCUAACUACGUGCCAGCAGCCGCGGUAAUACGUAGGUGGCAAGCGUUAUCCGGAAUUAUUGGGCGUAAAGCGCGCGUAGGCGGUUUUUUAAGUCUGAUGUGAAAGCCCACGGCUCAACCGUGGAGGGUCAUUGGAAACUGGAAAACUUGAGUGCAGAAGAGGAAAGUGGAAUUCCAUGUGUAGCGGUGAAAUGCGCAGAGAUAUGGAGGAACACCAGUGGCGAAGGCGACUUUCUGGUCCGUAACUGACGCUGAUGUGCGAAAGCGUGGGGAUCAAACAGGAUUAGAUACCCUGGUAGUCCACGCCGUAAACGAUGAGUGCUAAGUGUUAGGGGGUUUCCGCCCCUUAGUGCUGCAGCUAACGCAUUAAGCACUCCGCCUGGGGAGUACGACCGCAAGGUUGAAACUCAAAGGAAUUGACGGGGACCCGCACAAGCGGUGGAGCAUGUGGUUUAAUUCGAAGCAACGCGAAGAACCUUACCAAAUCUUGACAUCCUUUGACAACUCUAGAGAUAGAGCCUUCCCCUUCGGGGGACAAAGUGACAGGUGGUGCAUGGUUGUCGUCAGCUCGUGUCGUGAGAUGUUGGGUUAAGUCCCGCAACGAGCGCAACCCUUAAGCUUAGUUGCCAUCAUUAAGUUGGGCACUCUAAGUUGACUGCCGGUGACAAACCGGAGGAAGGUGGGGAUGACGUCAAAUCAUCAUGCCCCUUAUGAUUUGGGCUACACACGUGCUACAAUGGACAAUACAAAGGGCAGCGAAACCGCGAGGUCAAGCAAAUCCCAUAAAGUUGUUCUCAGUUCGGAUUGUAGUCUGCAACUCGACUACAUGAAGCUGGAAUCGCUAGUAAUCGUAGAUCAGCAUGCUACGGUGAAUACGUUCCCGGGUCU